rnacentral:rRNA from 1 species
CUUAAUUGGGCGUUAAGUUGCAGGGUAUAGACCCGAAACCCGGUGAUCUAGCCAUGGGCAGGUUGAAGGUUGGGUAACACUAACUGGAGGACCGAACCGACUAAUGUUGAAAAAUUAGCGGAUGACCUGUGGCUGGGGGUGAAAGGCCAAUCAAACCGGGAGAUAGCUGGUUCUCCCCGAAAGCUAUUUAGGUAGCGCCUCGUGAAUUCAUCUCCGGGGGUAGAGCACUGUUUCGGCUAGGGGGCCAUCCCGGCUUACCAACCCGAUGCAAACUGCGAAUACCGGAGAAUGUUAUCACGGGAGACACACGGCGGGUGCUAACGUCCGUCGUGAAGAGGGAAACAACCCAGACCGCCAGCUAAGGUCCCAAAGUCAUGGUUAAGUGGGAAACGAUGUGGGAAGGCCCAGACAGCCAGGAUGUUGGCUUAGAAGCAGCCAUCAUUUAAAGAAAGCGUAAUAGCUCACUGGUCGAGUCGGCCUGCGCGGAAGAUGUAACGGGGCUAAACCAUGCACCGAAGCUGCGGCAGCGACACUGUGUGUUGUUGGGUAGGGGAGCGUUCUGUAAGCCUGCGAAGGUGGCCUGUGAGGGUUGCUGGAGGUAUCAGAAGUGCGAAUGCUGACAUAAGUAACGAUAAAGCGGGUGAAAAGCCCGCUCGCCGGAAGACCAAGGGUUCCUGUCCAACGUUAAUCGGGGCAGGGUGAGUCGACCCCUAAGGCGAGGCCGAAAGGCGUAGUCGAUGGGAAACGGGUUAAUAUUCCCGUACUUGGUGUUACUGCGAAGGGGGGACGGAGAAGGCUAUGUUGGCCGGGCGACGGUU